AAGAAAGAAAGAAAGAAAGAAAGAAAGAAAGAAAGAAAGAAAGAAAGAAAAAACCUAAAAGCGAAAGAAUGGAGAGAGAGAAAAGUGACAACAACAACAACAACAAAACAACCAACCAAGGUGUCCGGGUUGGUUACAGUGACUGGUGUACAGAUUUUGCUGUGGUCAGCAUCUCUGGCAAGCACUUUUCCAGAGACAGGCCCGUUCACUCCCAAGGUUACUUCAGAAGCUGUACGCAAUAUGGGGGAAAGUGAGAAAUGCCUCCUCUUGCACUCUAGAUGCUUGGGGGUCCACGGAAAGACAAACAUUCCUGUAACUCCAAUCCUCACCCAGCUUCUGGAAGGCCUUUUAAGUCUGUGGAGUUCCAACAGCUUCUGGGUAGCCCGGCUGGGAGGCUUCAGUGGGAUCAAAGGACAGAGGAAGGCAGGAUGCAUGGCCAGGCAAGUGGGCAGGUGGCUGGGCUCUGCCACCAGCCCAAGAGACCUUCCAUGGGUCUCCCUUCCUCUGUACCUCAUGAAAGUGUUGGAUCAGACCAGGGCUUCUUAACCUUUUGAGAAUCUGAUCAAAUUAAAAUUCUUCUUGGAAAUGUGCAUUUGAUUUUCUUUAAUGUGGCCAAACAGGGGUGACAUAAAAUUUGCCAUUUUAACCUGCACAGUUUGGUGGCAUUUAGUGCAGUCACUGCAUUGGGUGAGCGCUACAUCUGGUUCUAAGAUAUGUUCACUCUCCAGAAGGAAACCCUGUAUUCACUAGUCACACACCCACCACACGUUUUCUUCUCUUCCAGACUCUAGCAACCACACACUACUUUCUGCCUAAAUGGCUUGCCUAUUCUGGAUGUUGUGUGUCAAUGGAAUCUCAUACUCUCUGCUGUUGCUUUGUUUAGCAGGCAGUUCUUUUCCUUUUCAUGGCUGAACCAUGUUCCACUGGAUACCACAUUUUUAUUAUCCAUUCAUCUGCACACUUACUUUUAUUGAGAUUAAACAGUUUUCAAGUU